rnacentral:rRNA from 1 species
CUUCUUUAACACCGGUUGAUCCUGCCGGUGGGCACUGCUAUCCGGCUCCGGCUAAGGCAUGGGAGUCGCGGGCGCGGGGGCAUGGCCGCGCCCGGCGCACGGCUCAGUAACACACGGGUAACCUACCCUCGGGACGGGGAUAACCCCUGGGAAACUGGGGAUAAUCCCCGAUAGGGGCCGAGGCCUGGAAUGGUCCGGCCCCGAAAGGGACACGGCGCCAUCCCCGCCGUGUCCGCCCGAGGAUGGGCCCGUGGCCGAUUAGGUAGCUGGUGGGGUAACGGCCCACCAGGCCGAAGAUCGGUACGGGCGGUGAGAGCCGGAGCCCGGAGAUCGGCCCUGAGACAAGGGCCGAGGGCCUACGGGCCGCACCAGCCGCGAAACCUCCGCAAUGCGGGCAACCGUGACGGGGGGAGCCGGAGUGCCGCGUGGCUAUAGGCCACGCGGCUUUUCCCGACCGUAAACAGGUCGGGGAAUAAGGGCCGGGCAAGGCCGGUGUCAGCCGCCGCGGUAAUACCGGCGGCCCGAGUGGUGCCCGUGAUUAUUGGGCCUAAAGGGUCCGUAGCCGGCCCGGUGUGGCCCCGGUGAAAUCCUCGGGCUUAACCCGAGGAUAGCCGGGGCUACUGCCGGGCUAGGGGCCGGGAGACGCCGGCGGUACUCCCAGGGUAGGGGUGAAAUCCAAAAAUCCUGGGAGGACCACCUGUGGGGAAACCGGCCGGCGAGAACGGGCCCGACGGUGAGGGACGAAGGCUGGGGGAGCGAGCCGGAUUAGAGACCCGGGUAGUCCCAGCUGUCAACGCUGCGGGCUAGCUGCCGGGAGGCCCUGAGGCCUCUCGGUGGCGCAGGGAAGCCGUUAAGCCCGCCGCCUGGGGAGUACGGCCGCAAGGCUGAAACUUAAAGGAAUUGGCGGGGGGGUACACCAGGGGAGUGGUCUGCGGUUUAAUUGGAGUCGACACCGGGAACCUUACCGGGGGCGACAGCUGGAUGAUGGCCAGGCUGACGACCUUGCCGGACUCGCUGAGAGGUGGUGCAUGGCCAUCGUCAGCUCGUACCGUGAGGCGUCCAGUUAAGUCUGGCAACGAGCGAGACCCGCGCCCGCAGUUGCCAGGGGUUCCGGGCCUACCGGAACUCCCGGCACACUGCGGGGACUGCCGGCGAGAAGCCGGAGGAAGGUGCGGGCGACGAUAGGUCAGUAUGCCCCGAAUCCCCCGGGCUACACGCGGGCCACAAGGGCCGGGACAGAGGGUGCCGACCCCGAAAGGGGAAGGCAAUCCCCUAAACCCGGCCCCAGUUCGGAUCGCGGGCUGCAACUCGCCCGCGUGAAGGCGAAUUCCCUAGUAACCGCAGGUUAGCAGCCUGCGGUGAAUACGUCCCUGUCCCUUGCACACACCGCCCGUCGCGCCACCCGAGUCGGGCUUGGGUGAGUCCCGGGCCCGGAAGGGCCCGGGACGAACCUGGGCCCGACGAGGGGGGCGAAGUCGACACAAGGUAGCCGUAGGGGAACCUGCGGCUGGAUCACCUCCUU